rnacentral:rRNA from 1 species
UACGGGGGGGGCAAGCGUUGUUCGGAAUUACUGGGCGUAAAGGGCUUGUAGGUGGCCAACUAAGUCAGACGUGAAAUCCCUCGGCUUAACCGGGGAACUGCGUCUGAUACUGGAUGGCUAGAGUGUGGGAGAGGGAUGCGGAAUUCCAGGUGUAGCGGUGAAAUGCGUAGAUAUCGGGAGGAACACCGGUGGCGAAGGCGGUUCUCUGGGCCUGUACUGACGCUGAGGAGCGAAAGCGUGGGGAGCGAACAGG